AAACAUGUCUUUUUGUAUUAUUUUUAAAGUCUAACCUGCCCACUGAAUAAAGUUUAAAUGGCCGCAGUAUCCUAACUGUGCAAAGGUAGCAUAAUCAUUAGUCUUUUAAUUGAAGGCUGGUAUGAAUGGUUGGACGAGGUAUUAACUGUUUCAAAUAAAUUUUUUGUAGAAUUUUAUUUUUUAGUCAAAAAGCUAAAAUAUAAUUAAAAGACGAGAAGACCCUAUAAAUCUUUACUUUUUAAUUAUUUUAAUAAUAAAGAUAAAUUUUAUUAUAAUAAUAAAAAAAGUUUUAUUGGGGUGAUAUUAAAAUUUAAAAAACUUUUAAUUUUAUAUAAACAUAAAUUAAUGAGUAAUUGAUCCAUUAUUAUUGAUUAUAAAAUUAAGUUACUUUAGGGAUAACAGCGUAAUUUUUUUGGAGAGUUCUUAUCGAUAAAAAAGAUUGCGACCUCGAUGUUGGAUUAAGAAAAAAUUUAGGUGUAGUUGUUUAAAUAUUAAGUCUGUUCGACUUUUAAUUUCUUACA
rnacentral:rRNA from 1 species